rnacentral:rRNA from 1 species
AUACGGAGGGUCCAAGCGUUAUCCGGAAUCAUUGGGUUUAAAGGGUCCGCAGGCGGUCAAUUAAGUCAGAGGUGAAAGCCCAUCGCUCAACGAUGGAACUGCCUUUGAUACUGGUUGACUUGAGUUAUACGGAAGUAGAUAGAAUAAGUAGUGUAGCGGUGAAAUGCAUAGAUAUUACUUAGAAUACCGAUUGCGAAGGCAGUCUACUACGUAUAUUCUGACGCUGAGGGACGAAAGCGUGGGGAGCGAACAGGAUUAGAAACCCCAGUAGUCC